rnacentral:sRNA from 1 species
UUCAGAACCGUGGAACCUCUGGAGUAUUACAGGAGAUUUCUGAAAGAGAACUGCCGUCCUGAUGGAAGAGAACUUGGUGAAUUCAGAACCACAACUGUCAACAUCGGUUCAAUUAGUACCGCAGAUGGUUCUGCUUUAGUGAAGUUGGGAAAUACUACAGUAAUUUGUGGAGUUAAAGCAUAGCUUCUUUCAAUAGGAAACAUUUCUUUGCUACUAUAGGAAUUUGCAGCACCACCAACAGAUGCCCCUGAUAAAGGAUACGUUGUUCCUAAUGUGGAUCUACCACCCCUGUGUUCAUCGAGAUUCCGGUCUGGACCUCCUGGAGAAGAGGCCCAAGUGGCUAGCCAGUUCAUUGCAGAUGUCAUUGAAAAUUCACAGAUAAUUCAGAAAGAGGACUUAUGCAUUUCUCCAGGAAAGCUUGUCUGGGUUCUAUACUGUGAUCUCAUUUGCCUCGACUACGAUGGAAACAUUUUGGAUGCCUGCACAUUUGCUUUGUUAGCGGCUUUAAAAAAUGUUGCCUGAAGUUACUAUAAAUGAAGAAACUGCUUUAGCAGAAGUUAAUUUAAAGAAGAAAAGUUAUUUGAAUAUUAGAACUCAUCCAGUUGCAACUUCCUUUGCUGUGUUUGAUGA